CCUACGGGAGGCUGCAGUAGGGAAUAUUGCUCAAUGGGGGAAACCCUGAAGCAGCAACGCCGCGUGGAGGAUGAAGGUUUUAGGAUUGUAAACUCCUUUUGUUAGAGAAGAUUAUGACGGUAUCUAACGAAUAAGCACCGGCUAACUCCGUGCCAGCAGCCGCGGUAAUACGGAGGGUGCAAGCGUUACUCGGAAUCACUGGGCGUAAAGAGUGCGUAGGCGGGGUAAUAAGUCAGAUGUGAAAUCCUGUAGCUUAACUACAGAACUGCAUUUGAAACUGUUACUCUGGAGUGUGGGAGAGGUAGGUGGAAUUCUUGGUGUAGGGGUAAAAUGCGUAGAUAUCAAGAGGAAUACUCAUUGCGAAGGCGACCUGCUGGAACAUUACUGACGCUGAUGCACGAAAGCGUGGGGAGCAAACAGGAUUAGAUACCCGAGUAGUC
rnacentral:rRNA from 1 species